rnacentral:rRNA from 1 species
AACGAACGCUGGCGGCAUGCCUAACACAUGCAAGUCGAACGAGACAUUCGGGUUUAGUGGCGCACUGGUGGGUGAAGCGUUGAGUACUGCCUUUGGAAUGUGCAUGACAGUUGGAAAUAACUGCUAAUAACGGUUGCUGAUGCUAGUCCAAAGCUUUAUCGCCCAGGGAUCAGCCCGCGUAGGAUUAGCUAGUUGGUGGGGUCAAGGCCUACCAAGGCGACGAUCCUUAGCUGUUCUGAUCGGAUGAUCAGCCACACUGGGACUGAGACACGGCCCAGACUCCGAGGGGAGGCAGCAGUGGGGAAUAUUGGGCAAGGGACGAAAGCCUGAUCCAGCAGUGCCGCGGGAGAGAGGAAUGCCUUAGGGUUGUAAAGCUCUUUGACCCGGGAUGAUAAUGACAGUACCGGGAGAAUAAGCCCCGGCUAACUCCGUG